rnacentral:misc_RNA from 1 species
GAUGAAGAACGUAGCGAAAUGCGAUAAGUAAUGUGAAUUGCAGAAUUCAGUGAAUCAUCGAAUCUUUGAACGCACAUUGCGCCCGCCAGUAUUCUGGCGGGCAUGCCUGUUCGAGCGUCAUUUCAACCAUCAAGCCCCCGGCUUGUGUUGGGGACCUGCGGCUGCCGCAGGCCCUGAAAAGCAGUGGCGGCCUCGCUGUCACACCGAGCGUAGUAGCAUACAUCUCGCUCUGGGCGUGCUGCGGGUUCCGGCCGUUAAACCACCUUCAUAACCCAAGGUUGACCUCGGAUCAGGUAGGAAGACCCGCUGAACUUAAGCAUAUCAAUAAGCGGAGGA